GCGGAAGUGGUGGAAUGGCAGACGCGCUGGGUUCAGGGUCCAGUGUCCGAAAGGGCGUGUGGGUUCAAAUCCCACCUUCCGCA
rnacentral:tRNA from 1 species